AUUGAGCGCUGGCGGCAUGCCUUACACAUGCAAGUCGAACGGCAGCACGGGAGCAAUCCUGGUGGCGAGUGGCGAACGGGUGAGUAAAGUAUCGGAACGUGCCCAGUCGUGGGGGAUAACGUAGCGAAAGUUACGCUAAUACCGCAUACGAUCUAUGGAUGAAAGCGGGGGAUCGCAAGACCUCGCGCGAUUGGAGCGGCCGAUAUCGGAUUAGGUAGUUGGUGGGGGAAAGGCUCACCAAGCCGACGAUCUGUAGCUGGUCUGAGAGGACGACCAGCCACACUGGGACUGAGACACGGCCCAGACUCCUACGGGAGGCAGCAGUGGGGAAUUUUGGACAAUGGGCGAAAGCCUGAUCCAGCCAUGCCGCGUGCAGGAUGAAGGCCUUCGGGUUGUAAACUGCUUUUGUACGGAACGAAAAGGUUUGGCCUAAUAAGCUGAGCUCAUGACGGUACCGUAAGAAUAAGCACCGGCUAACUACGUGCCAGCCGCCGCCGUAA
rnacentral:rRNA from 1 species